UACGAAGGGUGCAAGCGUUACUCGGAAUUACUGGGCGUAAAGCGUGCGUAGGUGGUUUGUUAAGUCUGAUGUGAAAGCCCUGGGCUCAACCUGGGAAUUGCAUUGGAUACUGGCAGGCUAGAGUGCGGUAGAGGGUAGUGGAAUUCCCGGUGUAGCAGUGAAAUGCGUAGAGAUCGGGAGGAACAUCCGUGGCGAAAGCGGCUUCCUGGUCCGACACCGACGUUCAGGCACGAAAGCGUGGGGAGCAAACAGG
rnacentral:rRNA from 1 species